rnacentral:rRNA from 1 species
GGGNNUGCUUACCAUGCAGUCGAACGAUGAACCUCACUUGUGGGGGGAUUAGUGGCGAACGGGUGAGUAACACGUGAGUAACCUGCCCUUGACUCUGGGAUAAGCCUGGGAAACCGGGUCUAAUACUGGAUACGACCUUCUGGCGCAUGCCAUGUUGGUGGAAAGCUUUUGUGGUUUUGGAUGGACUCGCGGCCUAUCAGCUUGUUGGUGGGGUAAUGGCCUACCAAGGCGACGACGGGUAGCCGGCCUGAGAGGGUGACCGGCCACACUGGGACUGAGACACGGCCCAGACUCCUACGGGAGGCAGCAGUGGGGAAUAUUGCACAAUGGGCGCAAGCCUGAUGCAGCGACGCCGCGUGAGGGAUGAAGGCCUUCGGGUUGUAAACCUCUUUCAGUAGGGAAGAAGCCGGCCCUUGGGUUGGUGACGGUACCUGCAGAAGAAGCGCCGGCUAACUACGUGCCAGCAGCCGCGGUAAUACGUAGGGCGCAAGCGUUAUCCGGAAUUAUUGGGCGUAAAGAGCUCGUAGGCGGUUUGUCGCGUCUGCCGUGAAAGUCCGGGGCUUAACUCCGGAUCUGCGGUGGGUACGGGCAGACUAGAGUGCAGUAGGGGAGACUGGAAUUCCUGGUGUAGCGGUGAAAUGCGCAGAUAUCAGGAGGAACACCGAUGGCGAAGGCAGGUCUCUGGGCUGUAACUGACGCUGAGGAGCGAAAGCAUGGGGAGCGAACAGGAUUAGAUACCCUGGUAGUCCAUGCCGUAAACGUUGGGCACUAGGUGUGGGGGACAUUCCACGUUUUCCGCGCCGUAGCUAACGCAUUAAGUGCCCCGCCUGGGGAGUACGGCCGCAAGGCUAAAACUCAAAGGAAUUGACGGGGGCCCGCACAAGCGGCGGAGCAUGCGGAUUAAUUCGAUGCAACGCGAAGAACCUUACCAAGGCUUGACA